GACGAACGCUGGCGGCGUGCUUAACACAUGCAAGUCGAACGAAGUGGCGAACGGGUGAGUAAUACGUGGGUAACCUGCCCUCCUUUUUGGGAUAAGCCUUGGAAACGGGGUCUAAUACCGAAUAAAGGGGGAUGUGCUCGGGGCCUAUCAGCUUGUUGGUGGGGUGAUGGCCUACCAAGGCGGUGACGGGUAGCCGGCCUGAGGGGGUGACCGGACACAUUGGGACUGAGAUACGGCCCAGACUCCUACGGGAGGCAGCAGUGGGGGAUAGUGCAAAAUGGGCGAGAGCCAGAGGCAGCGACGCCGCGUGGGGGAUGAAGGCGUUAGGGUUGUAAACCUCUUUCGAUAUCGAACGGGUAGGUAGAGAAGAAGCGCCGGCUAACUACGUGCCAGCAGCCGCGGUAAUAC
rnacentral:rRNA from 1 species